UGGUGGAGUGAUUUGUCUGGUUAAUUCCGUUAACGAACGAGACCUCCGCGUUCUAAAUAGUCCUGCCUACAAUUUUUGUAAGUAAGGACUUCUUAGAGGGACUUUCAGCGAUUAGUUGAAGGAAGUUGGAGGCAAUAACA
rnacentral:rRNA from 1 species